rnacentral:rRNA from 1 species
UACGAAGGGGGCUAGCGUUGUUCGGAUUUACUGGGCGUAAAGCGCACGUAGGCGGACAUUUAAGUCAGGGGUGAAAUCCUGGAGCUCAACUCCAGAACUGCCUUUGAUACUGAAGAUCUUGAGUUCGGGAGAGGUGAGUGGAACUGCGAGUGUAGAGGUGAAAUUCGUAGAUAUUCGCAAGAACACCAGUGGCGAAGGCGGCUCACUGGCCCGAUACUGACGCUGAUGCACGAAAGCGUGGGGAGCAAACAGG